rnacentral:rRNA from 1 species
UACAGAGGGUGCGAGCGUUGUUCGGAAUUAUUGGGCGUAAAGAGCUCGUAGGCGGUUUGUCGCGUCUGCCGUGAAAGUCCGGGGCUCAACUCCGGAUCUGCGGUGGGUACGGGCAGACUAGAGUGAUGUAGGGGAGACUGGAAUUCCUGGUGUAGCGGUGAAAUGCGCAGAUAUCAGGAGGAACACCGAUGGCGAAGGCAGGUCUCUGGGCAUUAACUGACGCUGAGGAGCGAAAGCAUGGGGAGCGAACAGG